rnacentral:rRNA from 1 species
CAAUAGCGUAUAUUAAAGUUGUUGCAGUUAAAAAGCUCGUAGUUGGAUUUCGGGGUGGCCUGCCUGGUCCACCGCAAGGUGAGUACUGGUCAGCCGCCCUUCCUCUCGAAAGCCCCGACUGCUCUUCAUUGCAGUGGUCGGGUAGUUCGGGACGUUUACUUUGAAAAAAUUAGAGUGUUCAAGGCAGGCUCUCGCCUGAAUACAUUAGCAUGGAAUAAUGGAAGAGGACCUCGGUCCUAUUUUGUUGGUUUCUAGGGCCGAAGUAAUGAUUAAGAGGGACAGUUGGGGGCAUUCGUAUUUAAUUGUCAGAGGUGAAAUUCUUGGAUUUAUGAAAGACGAACUAGUGCGAAAGCAUUUGCCAAGAAUGUUUUCAUUAA